GACGAACGCUGGCGGCGUGCUUAACACAUGCAAGUCGAACGGAAAGGCCCUGCUUUUGUGGGGUGCUCGAGUGGCGAACGGGUGCGUAACACGUGAGUAACCUGCCCUUGACUUUGGGAUAACUUCAGGAAACUGGGGCUAAUACCGGAUAGGAGCUCCUGCUGCAUGGUGGGGGUUGGAAAGUUUCGGCGGUUGGGGAUGGACUCGCGGCUUAUCAGCUUGUUGGUGGGGUAGUGGCUUACCAAGGCUUUGACGGGUAGCCGGCCUGAGAGGGUGACCGGCCACAUUGGGACUGAGAUACGGCCCAGACUCCUACGGGAGGCAGCAGUGGGGAAUAUUGCACAAUGGGCGGAAGCCUGAUGCAGCAACGCCGCGUGCGGGAUGACGGCCUUCGGGGUGUAAACCGCUUUCGCCUGUGACGAAGCGUGAGUGACGGUAAUGGGUAAAGAAGCACCGGCUAACUACGUG
rnacentral:rRNA from 1 species